UUCUCUUUCACCCAUGGAGGAUUUGAGGGUUUGUGGAUCUUAGGAAUUCGGUCGUUGUGGUUUUUGGAAAUUGGGGAUUUGGGAAUUUUAGGGAUUUGAGGAUAUUGGGGACUUUCAUAUUGAAGGAAUUUGGAGAAAUUGGGGAUUCGUGAAUAUAAUACCCAAAAAAAUAGACAUUUUGCAUUUUGUGGGGAGUGCCUGGAUAGAUGGCUUCAAGGUUGAUCGUGUGGAUUUUUAUUUUUAUUUUUUUUUGCAUAGGAGGUGAUACAUGAUUGAAACCCUUUUAAAUAGUUCUCAGAUGUGCAAUGCGUUAUGCCGUGGAUGUAAAGGAUUCCCUAUUGAAUGAUAGUAGGGAAGCACAUCAUGUGAUGUGGGUUUUGUUUUUUAUGGAAACAGUGAGAUGCUUUAUGAAGAGGCCAACGUUGAUUGGGUUCUUUAAAUAAAUAAAAAAAAGAUCAAUAAUCCAGACCAUUGAUCAGGUGGCCAUGUUGUUGGUGGACAAAAAUCUCACCAUGUGGGCAAUCAACCUUCAAUCAGUUUUUGGAGAACCAAACAAUGGGCCUUUCUGACUCAUUGGCAAUUCGACUCAUCUAUAUACUAUAUGAUUUGGUAUGUAAACCUUGUAUACUAUCCAAUCAACAUCCUCACCAACUCUGAUUGUCAUCAUUUUAUCUUUUGUACAGGAGCAUCUGUGUAGAGAUAAUUUAUCUUUUAUUUUAUUUUUCCAUGAAGGCUACUCAUGCAUUCCUAUUACUUUAUUUUUUGUUCAUCAACUAUAUUAUUGUUAAGGUAGAAAUGUACGAUCGAAUUCCAGUAGUGCUAUGUUUUGUAAUGAUAUUUUCAUGUUUUACAAUUAGGGAUCCAUGUCAUUUUGCAGGAUUUGGAAUCAUGCAGGGACUUAAUCAUUUUUCUUGGGGUUAAGUACUCUUGAAUCAUUUUCCAAGUGACAAGUGGGGCAGUCUUAAAUUUCCAUGGUCUCAUAGGAGAGGAAAUCAUGCCCUUUUACUCCAACAAUGGGAAAGUCUACUUUCACCAGAUGGAAAGCUUUGAGAUGGACUAAAGUUUUUGUAGAAAGUAUGCAGUCUCAGGUUCUAGAUGAAGCUGAUCGAAUGCUUGACAUGGGAUUCAAGCAAGAAGUUCGCUUCAUAUUGAGCUAGACAUCCUCUAGUAUGUGAUUUGUACAAAAACCAUGAAAGAGUUUUGUUGGUUUUUGUUGUAGAAUGAGAUAUUCAUAGACAUGAAUCCGAAUGAGCAAUGUUGCAAAACAAUCUAUGGGAGGGACACAUUUUCACUAUUUUUUUCUGUUGCAAUGUA